AUACGGAGGCUGCGAGCGUUAAUCGGAAUUACUGGGCGUAAAGCGUGCGUAGGCGGUUUGUUAAGUCAGAAGUGAAAGCCCUGGGCUCAACCUGGGAACGGCUUUUGAGACUGGCAGACUCGAGUUGAGUAGAGGGGAGUGGAAUUUCCGGUGUAGCGGUGAAAUGCGUAGAGAUCGGAAGGAACACCAGUGGCGAAGGCGACUCCCUGGACUCAAACUGACGCUGAGGUACGAAAGCGUGGGUAGCAAACAGGAUUAGAAACCCUAGUAGUCC
rnacentral:rRNA from 1 species